rnacentral:rRNA from 1 species
UACGGAGGAUCCGAGCGUUAUCCGGAUUUAUUGGGUUUAAAGGGAGCGUAGGCGGGUUGUUAAGUCAGUUGUGAAAGUUUGCGGCUCAACCGUAAAAUUGCAGUUGAUACUGGCAUCCUUGAGUACAGUAGAGGUAGGCGGAAUUCGUGGUGUAGCGGUGAAAUGCUUAGAUAUCACGAAGAACUCCGAUCGCGAAGGCAGCCUGCUGGACUGUAACUGACGCUGAUGCUCGAAAGUGUGGGUAUCAAACAGG